ensembl:lncRNA
GGUCUGGCAGUAUGUAAAUGUGCCAUUCAAUAAUAAGGCUCAGCUGCAUUACGCGAGUGCACAAAUGUUGAACAUGAGCAGACUGAAUCAGAAAAGGCCUUAGCAAAUGACUCAGCACAUUAGCAACACUUCUCAAACUGUUUGUGUUGAUGAAGAUACGAGCGCCUUCCAAAAUCCUGCGCAAGACACUAAUGAAGGCGCGAAGAGGAGGUAAACUCGCAGCGAGAAGCAGAGACACAUGCGAGCGCACCGAAGGCUGAAGCUCCCGUAGAUCUUUAAACAGAUGGAGAAACAUCAGGAGUUCAGGCGUGGCUCCCUGUAGACGGCCGUAUUUAUGCUGAGGAACAUGAAACAGGGACUUCGUCAGACAUUCAUCAGAUCUCAUGCAUUAUAGAAGGAGCAGAAAAGGAGAUGAGAGAUGAUUUGGAGAAAUGUAGCAUUGCAUCACUUGCCCAGAAUGGAUGCUCUGCAGUGAAUGGGUGCCGUCAGAAUGAGAGUCCAAACAGCUGAUAAAAACAUCACAAUAAUCCACAAGUAAUCAACACCACAUGAA